GAGCUAGCCGUCGAAGGUGGGACAAAUGAUUGGGGUGAAGUCGUAACAAGGUAGCCGUAUCGGAAGGUGCGGCUGGAUCACCUCCUUU
rnacentral:rRNA from 3 species